rnacentral:rRNA from 1 species
GAGUUUGAUCCUGGCUCAGGACGAACGCUGGCGGCGUGCCUAAUACAUGCAAGUGGAACGCACGAGGUACACCGUAGUUUACUACACCGUACUUUGUGAGUCGCGAACGGGUGAGUAACGCGUAGGUAACCUACCUUUUAGCGGGGGAUAACUAUUGGAAACGAUAGCUAAUACCGCAUAAGAUAUCUUACUGCAUGGUAAGAUAUUAAAAGAUGCAAUUGCAUCACUAAGAGAUGGACCUGCGUUGUAUUAGCUAGUAGGUGAGGUAACGGCUCACCUAGGCAACGAUACAUAGCCGAUCUGAGGGGGUGAUCGGCCACACUGGGACUGAGACACGGCCCAGACUCCUACGGGAGGCAACAGUAGGGAAUCUUCGGCAAUGGGGGGAACCCUGACCGAGCAACGCCGCGUGAGUGAAGAAGGUUUUCGGAUCGUAAAGCUCUGUUGUAAGAGAAGAACGAGUGUGAGAGUGGAAAGUUCACACUGUGACGGUAACUUACCAGAAAGGGACGGCUAACUACGUGCCAGCAGCCGCGGUAAUACGUAGGUCCCGAGCGUUGUCCGGAUUUAUUGGGCGUAAAGCGAGCGCAGGCGGUUAGAUAAGUCUGAAGUUAAAGGCUGUGGCUUAACCAUAGUACGCUUUGGAAACUGUUUAACUUGAGUGCAGAAGGGG